AGGCAUAUACUGUAUUUUUUUUUAAAGAUUUUAUUUAUUUAUUUGUGGCUACAUUGAGACACAGGUUAUGUUUCCAUCACAGCAAGUUUAUUGCUGUGGUGACAAUGAGGCCUGUAACAUUU